rnacentral:rRNA from 1 species
UACGGAGGGGACUAGCGUUGUUCGGAAUUACUGGGCGUAAAGCGCACGUAGGCGGCUUUCUAAGUCGGGGGUGAAAUCCUGGAGCUCAACUCCAGAACUGCCUUCGAUACUGGAAAGCUCGAGUCCGGGAGAGGUGAGUGGAACUGCGAGUGUAGAGGUGAAAUUCGUAGAUAUUCGCAAGAACACCAGUGGCGAAGGCGGCUCACUGGCCCGGUACUGACGCUGAGGUGCGAAAGCGUGGGGAGCAAACAGG